UGGGCUGGGGCUCAGUGGCAGAGUGCCUGCCUGUCAUGCCUGAGGCCCUGGGUUCCAUCCCCAGCACCACAA
rnacentral:tRNA from 1 species